UACGAAGGGGGCUAGCGUUAUUCGGAAUCACUGGGCGUAAAGGGCGCGUAGGCGGCUUUAUAAGUCGGGGGUGAAAGCCUGUGGCUCAACCACAGAAUUGCCUUCGAUACUGUAGAGCUUGAGACCGGAAGAGGUAAGUGGAACUGCGAGUGUAGAGGUGAAAUUCGUAGAUAUUCGCAAGAACACCAGUGGCGAAGGCGGCUUACUGGUCCGGUUCUGACGCUGAGGCGCGAAAGCGUGGGGAGCAAACAGG
rnacentral:rRNA from 1 species